AGUGAUUGCCACUAUACCCGGUAAAGACGGUAAAGUUAGAGUUUUAAGAUUAAAAACGGCCGAUGGAGAGUACACACGCUCCAUCACCAAGGUCAUCGUUCUACCUAUGGACGAUAAGCCUAGUUGUUAGUAUUCGUUCGCCGCCGCCCCCCAGAAUGGUGAAAUAACGUUUCACCCUGUAUACAAAUAUGAAAUGUUCGUUACACAAACCAAUGCUAUAUCUUAGUAGUGACCUAACCGGUCCCUUCAAAUGCCGCCAAAACGAAAGGUUUACCGCGCUUUUUCCAGUUCCAAACAGUUCAGUUCGCAACUAGCUCUUGAGUAGAAAGGUUCGCUAUUAGUCCUCAGAAAGAACCGUCGCCUAUCGCAAUUUUCUUGCCGCUAAAACUCCCGCAAAAGCAAUGUUGCCAGUGUUACUCGUAGCCUAGAACAUUCUUGUACGCAGCAAACCUUAUCGUUGUAAGUAGUUAUACAGUGAAGUGAAGUGACAGUCCAACGUCAGUGUUAUCCGUACUUCAGUGUCAUACGAUAGUUAUACGGACAUUACCAUCUUAGCUUUUUAUUCACCAUUCUUCACUCAAUAAAGUUUGUUACGUGUAAA
rnacentral:lncRNA from 1 species